UAGGGAAUAUUGGACAAUGGGUGAGAGCCUGAUCCAGCCAUGCCGCGUGCAGGAAGAAGGCGUUAUGCGUUGUAAACUGCUUUUUGCCAGGGGAUAAAAAGACCGUGCGCGGUUAAUUGAAGGUACCUGGUGAAUAAGCCACGGCUAACUACGUGCCAGCAGCCGCGGUAAUACGUAGGUGGCAAGCGUUGUCCGGAUUUAUUGGGUUUAAAGGGUGCGUAGGUGGCCCUGUAAGUCAGUGGUGAAAUAUCUCAGCUUAACUGAGAGGGUGCCAUUGAUACUGCAGGGCUUGAGUACAGAUGAGGUAGGCGGAAUUGACGGUGUAGCGGUGAAAUGCAUAGAUAUCGUCAAGAACACCGAUAGCGAAGGCAGCGUA
rnacentral:rRNA from 1 species